rnacentral:lncRNA from 1 species
GGGAUUACAGGCAUGAGCCACCAUGCCUGGCCUAGUUAUGGCUAUUAUAAAAUAGAUAUUGAGGAUUUAGAUAUUUUACUUCCCCUUCAGCAUUUGGUAUUCAUUGUUCUAUCGCAGUUUUUAUUUAAAUCAAUAUUUAGUAAUUAUAUCAUCUUAACUAUGUAUAUAUGAUUCAUAGCCACAUCAUGUGAAACAUUCUGAUUAUAUUUCAUUUCUUAUACAAUGUCUUGUUUUCCCUGGAGUUAAUAUUGACCGUCCUUUUUGUUUGUUUACUGAGUAUUUAUCUAUACAUCUUUGCAACAGAGACUGAUAAAUGUCACCUGUUAUCACCCGUCUCUCCUUCCAAAGAAAGAGAACUCCCAACUUUUAACCUGGCACAUGAUUACCCAAAAUGAAGACUCCAUAUAUCAGCCAUGGCCAAGUUUCUGACCAAUGAGAUGUAAGUAAAAUGUCAUGUGGCAAUUCCCAGGAGCCUUCCUGAAAUCACUUCUCGCUCAUGCCCUUUGCUAGUUUUUCAUCAUCACCCUUUUCUCCUUCGUGCUGUCUUUCCAACAGAAAUAAAACAGACACGACUGGAUGUGAAACAGUCAUUUGGACCAUGAAGUGACCUUGGAAAAGGAAGCCAGGACUGGUGUCCAUAUAAGAAGAUAGCCCUGUGAAGACACAGACUCAGAGAGAAUUCUAAUAUGGAGAUGGAAACAAAAUCUGUAGUCAUGCUGCUCCAAGCUAAGGAAUACCUGGGGCUACCAGAAGCUCGAAGAAGCAGGAGAAGUUCCUCCCUAGAGGCUUCAGAGAACAUGACAUCUGACACAUUGAUUUCAGUUGGCUGACCUUCAAAGCGAUGAGGUGAAUUUCUGUUGUUUUAAGCCACCCAGAGACAGCCCUAAGAAAUUAAUGCACAUGCUAAUACUAGUUUUCUCUAAGUUUCAUUGAGAAUAUUGAAAAAUAUAUAUUUAAAUAUCUGGAUCUUAUUGAGAAUACAAAGAAGACUUUCAUACGUUGGUAUUUCUGAAUCUUCAUUUAUAAAGUGUUAAAUAACUUAUGCCCAAAAGAAAAAAUCGGUCAGAAAUUACCUCAUAUCAGUAAGUUCUAUAGUAAAGGAAUAAAUGCAUCUAAGAAUGACACAUGAAA